rnacentral:rRNA from 1 species
AUUGAACGCUGGCGGCAGGCUUAACACAUGCAAGUCGAGCGAGCGGCGGACGGGUGAGUAAUGUCUGGGAAACUGCCUGAUGGAGGGGGAUAACUACUGGAAACGGUAGCUAAUACCGCAUACCAUACGAUGUGCCCAGGUGGGAUUAGCUCGUAGGUGGGGUAAUGGCUAACCUAGGCGACGAUCCCUAGCGGGUCUGAGAGGAUGACCAGCAACACUGGAACUGAGACACGGGCCAGACUCCGACGGGAGGAAGCAGUGGGGAAUAGUGCACAAUGGGCGCAAGCCUGAUGCAGCAAUGCCGUGUGUGUGAAGAAGGCCUUCGGGUUGUAAAGCACUUUCAGCGAGGAGGCGUUACUCGCAGAAGAAGCACCGGCUAACUACGUGCCAGCAGCCGCGGUAAUAC